CUUCAAUCCCAUGGCUCACUCUCUCUGCCUCUGCCACCAGCCUGCUCAGGCUGCUGGGAACUACAGUGGGACAAGGAGCCUGGAGCCUACACGCACAUCAAAAUGGUCGCUUGGGUUGUCUUAACGAGUCUGAACAGUUUGCGCUUCAGGGAAGAGAACUCAGUACGCAGUGUUUGCAGCCUGGCCAGUACUCACAGAAGCAGCCAAAGCUCAAAGAUGCCUUCCCAGAAGUGUCACCCUGGUGCUUCUAUCUCCAUCCAGUAAUUGUUCCAGACACACAUAACCAGCAGCGGCAAACCCAGACUGAUGCACGGAAUCAGGCUAGAGGAAGUGGAUUUGGCUGUCUUGGGAAGUCCAAGGAAAUUUUCUUCCUUUCUUCUGUCUGUGUGUCCGUCUGUCUGCCUCAGUCUCUCUCUGAGCAUGUGUGUCUGUGUGUGUGCGCACGUGUAUGCGUGUGUGGGCACGCAUGUGCUCAUGUGUAUGGAGGCCCAAGGUCUGUUGCUUUCUGUCC
ensembl:lncRNA